CGGAAUUACUGGGCGUAAAGGGCUCGUAGGUGGCCAACUAAGUCAGACGUGAAAUCCCUCGGCUUAACCGGGGAACUGCAUCUGAUACUGGAUGGCUUGAGUUUGGGAGAGGGACGCGGAAUUCCAGGUGUAGCGGUGAAAUGCGUAGAUAUCUGGAGGAACACCGGUGGCGAAGGCGGCGUCCUGGACCAACACUGACACUGAGGAGCGAAAGCCAGGGGAGCAAACGGG
rnacentral:rRNA from 1 species